rnacentral:rRNA from 1 species
UAUGUCCUAUCAGGUAGUUGGUGAGGUAACGGCUCACCAAGCCAAUGACGGGUAUCUGGUUUGAGAGGAUGAUCAGACACACUGGAACUGAGACACGGUCCAGACUCCUACGGGAGGCAGCAGUGAGGAAUAUUGCACAAUGGAGGAAACUCUGAUGCAGCAACGCCGCGUGGAGGAUGACGCAUUUCGGUGUGUAAACUCCUUUUAAGAGGGAAGAUUAUGACGGUACCUCUUGAAUAAGCACCGGCUAACUCCGUGCCAGCAGCCGCGGUAAUACGGAGGGUGCAAGCGUUACUCGGAAUCACUGGGCGUAAAGGGUGCGUAGGCUGACUUUUAAGUCAGGCGUGAAAUCCAAUGGCUUAACCAUUGAACUGCGCUUGAAACUGGGAGUCUAGAGUUCAGAAGGGGCAGAUGGAAUUAGUGGUGUAGGGGUAAAAUCCGUAGAUAUCACUAGGAAUAUCAAAAGCGAAGGCGAUCUGCUGGGAUGAUACUGACGCUGAGGCACGAAAGCGUGGGGAGCAAACAGGAUUAGAUACCCUGGUAGUCCACGCCCUAAACGAUGAAUGCUAGUCGUCGGGGAGCUCGUCUCUUCGGUGAUGCACUUAACAGAUUAAGCAUUCCGCCUGGGGAGUACGGUCGCAAGAUUAAAACUCAAAGGAAUAGACGGGGACCCGCACAAGUGGUGGAGCAUGUGGUUUAAUUCGAAGAUACACGAAGAACCUUACCUGGCCUUGACAUGGUAGGAACCCUGUAGAGAUACGGGGGUGCUGGCCUGCUAGAGCCUACACACAGGUGCUGCACGGCUGUCGUCAGCUCGUGUCGUGAGAUGUUGGGUUAAGUCCCGCAACGAGCGCAACCCUCGUCCUUAGUUGCUAACGGUUCGGCCGAGCACUCUAAGGAGACUGCCUUCGCAAGGAGGAGGAAGGUGAGGACGACGUCAAGUCAUCAUGGCCCUUACGGCCAGGGCUACACACGUGCUACAAUGGGGCGUACAGAGAGCUGCGAUACCGCGAGGUGGAGCCAAUCUCUUAAAGCGUCUCUCAGUUCGGAUUGUUCUCUGCAACUCGAGAACAUGAAGCUGGAAUCACUAGUAAUCGCAGAUCAGCUAUGCUGCGGUGAAUACGUUCCCGGGUCUUGUACUCACCGCCCGUCACACCAUGGGAGUUGAUUUCACCCGAAAUCGGGAUGCCAAAC